UGCUCAGGACGAACGCUGGCGGCGUGCCUAAUACAUGCAAGUCGAGCGGACUUAAAAAGCUUGCUUUUUAAGUUAGCGGCGGACGGGUGAGUAACACGUGGGCAACCUGCCUGUAAGACUGGGAUAACUUCGGGAAACCGGAGCUAAUACCGGAUAAUCCUUUCCUACUCAUGUAGGAAAGCUGAAAGACGGUUUACGCUGUCACUUACAGAUGGGCCCGCGGCGCAUUAGCUAGUUGGUGAGGUAACGGCUCACCAAGGCGACGAUGCGUAGCCGACCUGAGAGGGUGAUCGGCCACACUGGGACUGAGACACGGCCCAGACUCCUACGGGAGGCAGCAGUAGGGAAUCUUCCGCAAUGGACGAAAGUCUGACGGAGCAACGCCGCGUGAGUGAUGAAGGUUUUCGGAUCGUAAAACUCUGUUGUUAGGGAAGAACAAGUACGAGAGUAACUGCUCGUACCUUGACGGUACCUAACCAGAAAGCCACGGCUAACUACGUGCCAGCAGCCGCGGUAAUACGUAGGUGGCAAGCGUUGUCCGGAAUUAUUGGGCGUAAAGCGCGCGCAGGCGGUCCUUUAAGUCUGAUGUGAAAGCCCACGGCUCAACCGUGGAGGGUCAUUGGAAACUGGGGGACUUGAGUGCAGAAGAGAAGAGUGGAAUUCCACGUGUAGCGGUGAAAUGCGUAGAGAUGUGGAGGAACACCAGUGGCGAAGGCGACUCUUUGGUCUGUAACUGACGCUGAGGCGCGAAAGCGUGGGGAGCAAACAGGAUUAGAUACCCUGGUAGUCCACGCCGUAAACGAUGAGUGCUAAGUGUUAGAGGGUUUCCGCCCUUUAGUGCUGCAGCAAACGCAUAAGCACUCC
rnacentral:rRNA from 1 species